GAUGAACGCUGGCGGUCUGCUUAACACAUGCAAGUCGAACGGACCCUUCGGGGUUAGUGGCGGACGGGUGAGUAACGCGUGAGAAUCUGCCUUCAGGUCUGGGACAACAGAAGGAAACUUCUGCUAAUCCGGGAUGAGCCUUUUAGGUAAAAGAUAAUUGCCUGGGGGAUGAGCUCGCGUCUGAUUAGCUAGUUGGUGUGGUAAAAGCAUACCAAGGCAACGAUCAGUAGCUGGUCUGAGAGGAUGGGCAGCCACACUGGGACUGAGACACGGCCCAGACUCCUACGGGAGGCAGCAGUGGGGAAUUUUCCGGCAAUGGGCGAAAGCCUGACGGAGCAAGACCGCGUGGGGGAGGAAGGCUCUAGGGUUGUAAACCCCUUUCUUUGGGAAGAAGAAAGUGACGGUACCAAAGGAUCAGCCUCGGCUAACUCCGUGCCAGCAGCAGCCGCCGUAAU
rnacentral:rRNA from 1 species